UGUGCACUGAGGAAGAUGUCUGACAAUUUUCCUUAAGGGCAGUCAGGCUUUUUAGUUUUCUGGAGUCAGGUAGGAGUGGGGAGACAUGUUCCUACCUCCCUUUGCUGGGUCCCAAACUAUUCCACCUUUACUUACCCCAGACCUGAAGAUUCAAGGGGAAACCCAUGACAGUAUUGAGGAUGCCCGCACAGCCCUUCAGCUGUACCGAAAGUAUCUGGAGCUAAGCAAAAAUGGCACUGAGCCUGAGUCUUUCCACAAGGUGCUCAAGGGUCUUUAUGAGAAGGGCAGAAAGAUGGACUGGAAGGUGCCUGAGCCUGAGGGCCAAACAAGUCCCAAGAAUGCAGCUGUCUUCUCCUCAGUGCUGGCGCUCUGACUACCCUUCCCAAAGAACCACGGCCCUCUCCCUUUACUGUUCUAUAGCCCCAGAACUGGGAGAUGGCUUCCUAAGUUGGCUAUACCUUGUCCACUUCCAGUACUGGACGUGCUCAGGGUCUAGGGUCACAGAUGGUGCUAUUAAUUGAACUGGAACACAGCAGAAUUGUUGCAAAGGUUCUAGGAGCCAGAUUCAUUCCUUCUUCAUUCUUUGCAAAACAGUGGUACAGACAUGGAGUCUAGAAUUGACCCAGAUGGAAAG
rnacentral:sRNA from 1 species